GAUGAGUCUCAGGUUAAUGUUUUAUUUUCUGCACACCUUUAGCUGUGGCUGUGCCUCUCAAGGCAUACCUGUGGAACAUAAAUCCUUUAUAACCUCCUGGAUAGGAGAGGAACAUGAUCCAACCAUCCUACUUGCAUCUGAAAUCUCAGACAUGCUGAGGAGUGUGGGGUGAAAUCUUUCCUCUGACUUACAGUUGCCAGGAUUGCUGAUCUCAGUGGUUAAAGGCAGAGAGUUCAGAGGCAAAAUAGCUGUGGGCUCUCUGCCUACCACAGGCUCUCAUUCUCCACCUGACAGUAUAAACUAAGAACCUUCCUGUUCCUCAAUUUCUACAUUUGUCCCUGUAGUUCAGCAACACCAGUGUCAUCACCACCAAACCACUGAGAUCUCUGGAUAAAAACUUCCAUCAAAGGGCUCAAUCAUGUUAUUAAACACUGAUGAGAAACUGGUACUCAAAAUGAAUAAAGGGAUAGCAGAAACUGGUGGAUUUGUAACAAUGGAGAUACAAGAUUCCCUAGUGGAGACAGCCAAUUUCAGCUUUAUUCACACUGCUGUCGCAGCACUUCUCAGCUUCCACCUGAAAUCUUCAGAGUCUGGUAGAGAUUUGUGGAGUUGAGUGUUAAGUGUCAAUGAGGAAACAGUGCUGAAAGUCUUGCCAAAGUCAAGAUAGACAAUAAUCACUGCUUUCCCUGCUUCCAUCAAGCCAGCCAUCUCAUCCUACAAGGCAAUCUUCAGGCACCAUUUCCGUUUUGUAAAUCCAUAGAUCCAUAGAGACUGCUCUCAACCAAUUUUUUCUCCCUAAUGAGUUUGGGACAGCCUUCCAGGAUUGUUGCCUGACCAGUUUGUGUUUCUCCAGAUUCUCCUUCUUGCCCCUCUUGCAAACAAGAGGGAUGUUUUCUUUCUUCCAGUCUCCAUGAGCCUAGCCCAGUUUCCAAGUCCUACUGAAGAUAACUGCGAGUGAUCUCACAUUUACAUCGUCCAGCUCCCUCAGCACCCCUGGGUGUGUCCCUCCAGGAUACGAGAUUCAUGCACUGGGAUAUCAGAGUAUACAUAUUAGAUUCAGAUUUUAAUACCUUUUUUUUUUUUUUUUCCUGAUACAUGCAAUUUUUAAGCUAGGCUGUGUUUGCAGAAGGUGCUGUAAUACUUGACUAAGUGAAAACAGAACUGCUUUAAUGACAC
rnacentral:lncRNA from 1 species